UCGGCAUACUGCUCAGUAACACGUGGAUAACCUGCCCUAUCAUCUGGAAUAACCUCGGGAAACUGAGAACAACGCCGGAUAGCCCACAAUGCCUGGAACGGUUUGUGGGUGAAGAUAGGAUGGGUCUGCGGCGUAUCAGGUCGUAGGGGGUGUAAUGGACCUCCUAGCCAUCGACGCGUACGGGUGUUGGGAGACAUAGCCCGGAGAUGGAUUCUGAGACACGAAUCCGGACCCUACGGGGUGCAGCAGGCGCGAAAACUUCACACUGCAGGAAACUGUGAUGAGGGAACUCCAAGUGCUAUCACUAUGUGGUAGCUUUUCUUAACUAUUAAUCGGUUUUGGAAUAAGGGCUGGGAAAGACCGGUGCCAGCCGCCGCGGUAAUACCGGCAGCUCAAGUGGUCGUCGCUUUUAUUGGGCCUAAAACGUCCGUAGCCUGUUUAGUAAAUUCGUGGGUAAAUCAACCAGCUUAACUGGUUGAAUUCUGCAAAGACUGCUAGACUAGGGACCGGGAGAGGUGUGAGGUACUCUAGGGGUAGAGGUAAAAUUCUGUCAUCCUUGGAGGACCACCAGUUGCGAAGGCGUCACACUAGAACGGAUCCGACGGUCAGGGACGAAGCCUAGGGGCACGAACCGGAUUAGAUACCCGGGUAGUCCUAGGUGUAAACGCUGUGAACUUGGUGUCGGGAUUCCGUCAGGGGACCUCGGUGCCGAAAGUGAAGAUGUUAAGUUCACUGCCUGGGGAGUACGGUCGCAAGGCUGAAACUUAAAGGAAUUGGCGGGGGAGCACUGCAACGGGAGGAGCGUGCGGUUUAAUU
rnacentral:rRNA from 1 species